CAUAAAAUUCAUUGCAUGAUGAAUGGAAAACUAAGAGCUUGGUAAAGCAGACAACCAUGAAAAUUUCUACCAGCCCUGAUGGUUUUAAUUUGCAUUAUAUUGAUUGAAUCAAGUUUCUUUCAGGUUGCAAAAUCUAUUUGUAAUACAUAGAAAAUUUCAUUAUCGAUCAAGCUUGGGGGCAACAAUCCCACAAUUUGCUAUGCAUUAACUACAAUAUAUUUGAUGCUCCAAUGGCUUGAACAUGAGUCUUUAUGCUUAUCUUAUCGAGAACAAACUUUAGCUUGUUUC
rnacentral:lncRNA from 1 species